AUUUCAAGGGAUUAAACUUAGCUGUAACAUUUGUACAUGUAUAACAUGUACAUGUAAGGCCUAGUUAUCAUGGUUAUUACAGACAUGUAUUAAUGUAUUACAUGUUUUAUAUGAGACAGUUUGGUAAUUACUGAAAAGCAAGGGCGUGUUAAAUUUUAACCUUGUCCAUCCGUCAGUACAUACAUUUAGUUGUACAUGUAUGUCCCAAAAAAUUGGGUGGUCACUGGUGUUACUUUUACCUUUCUUCAGUUAUGCAUUGCUGAAUUUUUAUUGUUCUUUUCUCUCUAAUUUUAGUUUGCCUCAACCAAAUGUUAUGAAACUUAUAUACACACCGCUUAUUUCCACAUUUAUAAAUUCAGAUCGAGUUCAUAUUUGGUGGCAUCACUUUUACUGUUCUUGAUUUAUACCCUUUACAAAUUGAAAAAUGACUGAUUUUUUUUGUUUCCGUUUUCUUA
rnacentral:lncRNA from 1 species